rfam:Lactobacillus casei ATCC 334, complete genome.
AUAACGAUUAGAGGUUGCAUCUGUCAUGAAUCCUAACCGCAAUGGCCUGAACGCCAGAUGCGCGGUUGCAAAAGGGGUGGAUGCCGAAAUGCCGGAUUUGUUCAGAAAUCCGACAUUGGGCCAGUUGGACAACAUCCGCUGGACUGUCGCGAACAUCGCGGGGCGCUAAUGAAUCG